AUGUUCUCAAUUAUACAUGCAAUGAUAGAUGCUCAAUCUCAUAUUCUAUUCUGUAAUCAAUAUUGAUGGUUGCAAAUCCCUUCCCAGUGGUAAAAAUAUAAAUAACAAUACCUGGAAUACUUCCCGGUUAAAAUGCUGCAUCGGUAUUAAUCUGUUGGCUUGCAGAUCCCAUUCAUUAUUUAUUUAGAAGAGCAAUUGCAUAUUUCAAUACCGCGUCUCUCAUGUCAUGCUCGGGAUGACAACUUGGCUUAAGUGGUAUGAGGGAUAGGUUUGGCAUUUUUGGCACCGUUACUAGAUUUAGAGAAUUUAGUCAACUUUUGGUAAUGAUGUUAAGAAUACCCA
rnacentral:lncRNA from 1 species